rnacentral:misc_RNA from 1 species
GAAGAGUCCCAGUCAUCUGCCGAAGGUGCGCUCCCAGGCCCCCUGCUUGGGCGCGCCCACCUGGAACCUGGGCGUAGAGCUAUGAAAAUGCAGACCCGCACAAGCGCGAGGCCACGCGGGGAGACCCCCGCCCGCCAGGAGUUGGGGCAGAACCCAGUGACUUGAUUGUAAAAAUUUACAGAGCGGAAUCAUAUGCUGGUCUCCAAGAGUUUAAAGCAGCCAUAGAAGAUUUAAAUGCAGUUCUUUUUCAACUUCCAGAUUGGCCUGAGGUCUACUUCAGGAAAGGAAAAGUACUCUGCGAUGCUGGUUUUUUAGGUGAUGCCUUACAACUCUUUCUUCAGUGCUUAGCCCUUGAUGAAGAUUUUGCACCUGCAAAGCUGCAAGUACAAAAGAUUUUAUGUGAUUUAUUAUUACCUGAAAACUUAAAAGAAGGCCUGAAGGAAUCUUCCUGGAGUUCAUUACCAUGUACUAAAAACAGACCUUUUGAUUUUCAUUCAGUGAUGGAAGA